rnacentral:tRNA from 1 species
GGGGAUGUAGUUCAAUGACAGAAUACUUGCCUAGCAUGCAUGCGUCCCUAGGUUUGAUCCCUUACACUACCA